CGCAUAAUGGUCUUUUCAUUUGGACACGCGGUUCAGUAGAGAAAAAAUAUAGGACGACAUAACUUGAAAGAAUUAUUUAUAUUUGAAAUAGUUUAGAAAAUUUGAAUUACGAAUUUUGUUGAAAUCAUUAGAACUUUGGUUAAUUAAAUUGUCGAUCGAUUCUGCUUGUGUGCAAAAUUUUUGUGUCCAGCUAAAUUCCACUUGAGCGCGAUAGAAAAAAAACACCGAAAUUGAUGACAAAGGAGACGACGACGACAAAAGCAAGCAAGAAUUUGAGGAUUAGCAAAGUAUCUUCACAAACAACUUCUGUUUUUGGUAUUUGAAACUGAGAGAGAUAAUCUGGUGUGAACUCGAACCGCUGAAGACGAUUACAAUCAGUACAGCAAAGAAAAAAGGCGAAAACGUGUGAAUACGGAAAAGUUUGAACUCGAAUUGUCCAAAAUGAGUCAACAAAGAAAUGGCCAAGCAUUGAAACGGUACUUCCAGGAAGAAGAAGGAGGAGAAGAAGGAUGUUCGAAGCAAUUGAAACCUAAUGAAUCGUCUUCAAACGUGGAUCGAAAAAAAUUAACUAAUAUUUCCCAAGAUUGUUUGCUAGAAAUCUUCAAAUAUUUAAACUUAGACGAGCUAUUGAUUAUCGCGAAUAGAAACCAAUACCUUAAAGAAGUGACUUAUCGAGUAUUUUCUCGUCAGUUUAGAAAAAUCAAAUUUGAAAUAUGCGUUACUCAAGCCAAUCGAUUGAUCCCAUUGCAAUUAAUAGACGAUUCCAUAAAAGUAUAUGACUUAAGAAGUGCCAUGUCUUUACUUCGUAACUAUUGCAGCCUCAUUGAGAUUUUGUCAAUUAGAAAUAGUUUGAUCAAUAUUGAAUUCUCCAUCAAGGCAAUGGAUUAUGCAAGAGAAUAUUGCAGUACAAUAGUCGAAUUAUCAUUCACGACUACAUCGAAAAAAGAAUUCAAACAGUUCGGAUCUAGUGACGCUACCAUAUCAUUUCCAGAAAUGAAAAAUCUGUCACUUUUUGGUGAAUGUACGAUGUAUCGGCCAUUCGAAACAGAAUUUCCCGCAUUAGAAAAAUUAAUUAUUGAUAAUACGAGGGUUGCUGCAUAAGUUUCUGGCCUAACCUAUUUCUAGUGUUUUCAGAUGCAAUCUGACGAUUCCAUCGGAAAUUUUGACAUUUUUUAGGCUAAAAAACACUAUAGCAGGGAUUGUUUUACAUUACUGGGUGUGUCUAAGCCUCCUUUCCAAGGGAUACCUGGAAAAAUCGUAAAUUUCAACAAUAAACUUCAUUUUUCGAUGUGGGAAAAAUUGAUUAUUCUGUUGUUAACCACCUAAAAAACUUCGUUUAUCCUCAAUUUAAUAAUUUCUGGCUAACGAAACCAUUAUUUUAUAUUUUGGGCCUGCAAAUAUUCGAUUGAAUGAAGGCAUGUCAAAAGGUGAAAAUUCAUGAAGUGACAGAUAGUUCCCAGUUUUUGGCCCAUUUUCUGAAUAUUUUCAUUCCAAAAAUGUCCGCUUUAUUCAGAAUUCAUGGCACUACAAUUCCAAAGUAUAAUAACAGUCAUGUAAAUCAUUUUUUCCCAGAACGAAGCAUUGCAAUUUGCGAAAAUCGUCUGUUUUUUCAGAAAUAAGGAAAAUUUUCUGUUAUUUUCAAACACGAUACUAUCACUAAAACCUUCUGGGAUGACAUGCUAUACUCAUAAAUGAUAAUUUUGUAAUCUCUAGUGACGAUUGAGGGUUUUUCAGCCAAUCAAAAUUGCAUUAUUGAGAGUUUGUAGGCCUAUUUUUGUCCAAAACUCUUUUUUUUGGUUGAAAACAUAUUUGGAGGUUUUGACAUGUGAAAGGCAUUUACGUCACUAAAACCACAUGUAAUAUUGACCUAAUGCAUGUCAUACUAAUGCCAAAGGAUGCCCCAAUCUCACUAUAAGUCGUAUGAGAAUAUUCCACCUUUAGGUUUCGCACAGCAUCAAUGUGUUCCGGCGUUACAGCUGAUAUUUUACGACUUUCCUGCGGACUCAUUUUUGAGUGAGCUUCGUCAACAUUUAAAAUCGUUAUAUCACCUCUAAAUACUUGGAAUGGACCGAGUUUUAUCACCCAAAGCGAAUUUGAGGCUAUCACGGCACUCUUGUUGAGUUAGUCCCUCUCAAAAAUCGGAAAAAAUCAUUGCACUAAAAUGUUUGCGGAAAAAUUCAAUUUUUUCAUCAAAUUGAAAUAUUCAAGCUCAUAAAACACCACGAUCCGUAGUGAAUCAACAGUUGACGUCUGAGGAAACUUAGCUUAAAAAAGGUCAAACUUUUUGACUGACCCAAAGUUUUGCUUCGGAAAACACUAGAACUAGGUUAGGCCAGAAACUUAAGCAGCAACCUACGUAAAAUGUUAGGCCCAGAAAACUUAGGGAACAUACUCGAAAAAAAUAAGCAAUUAAAAUGUGUUGAGAUCAAUAUAAACCAAUAUUUGCCUGUGAGACGUCUUCGGCAAGCUAGCAAACAUUUGCAAAAAAUGAACGAACUUACUUUUAAAAAUUAUGUAUCAACUGAUGUAAUUCGCUUUCAGUCCGUCUCAAAAUUGAAUAUGAUUUGGCAUGGUGGCCUCAAGUUAAUGCAAGUUCCAAACAUUAAACUAUCGUUUGGCUUUAUCGAAGAGCUAUUUAUGGACCUGAGAGAAUUUAAAAAACUUGAUGCCGUAGACACAUUCCUUCGGACACUCGAGUUAAAUAAACUAACUAUUCGUUCAAAAGUAGACAUCGAAAGAAAAUUCUUCUUGAAUUUAGCUCCAAAGUUAUCAGUUAAGGAUAUAUCAUUCACGGAUAUUCAACUCUCGUAUGAUCAAAUAAGUGAAUAUCUCGGUGAAAACUCUAAAACACAAACGUUCAUGUGCAAAUAUUUUGAUGUAAAUGAAUUUCAACCUGAUCAAUUAUUCGAAACUACAGACAAAACCUAUUGGAAAAUAGAAAUAAUAGAACAGCAUAUUGUACUCAAACGCUCAAGCUAAAAUAAUGUUUUUACGUGACGAAUUGAUUAAAGUAAUAGAAAUAGUUUGAUGGUAUCAUUGUUAUAAGAACAUUCUUUCAACAUUUUACUUUCCGAACGUUUCACAACAAUCGAAAUAAAAAAUCUUUUUAGAACGCGGUUAUAUUUGUAGAAGAGGCCCAAUGAUUUAUAAUAAAACCGAGAAAAUGAAAUGAAAAA